rnacentral:misc_RNA from 1 species
AUCUUUUAGUGCCAAGUGGCAACGCAGAUAUCCACACUGCAAGAGAUGACCACCAAGCUUCUCCAAACCUCUGCCCAUCACAAAUGCCAUCACCUCAUCAACAAUUCCAUCUUUUUAACAAAUAAUAAUUGUCUGCAAAUAUCUAAUACAGUUUUAAGGAUAGAGAGAAUUGCGUUAAAAUGACAAUUUUACCCUCAAUGAAUUGGUUUAUUUCCUUCCAUGCCUAUAUGCAUACUUGCAUUCUCACCUAAAUAUUAUCUCCAAAUUUGUCCAAAACAAAGGGCAGUCACAGAAACCCAUAAAAACAUUAAACUAAGAAUGCGCAUCAGCAUGUCAUCACUAGGCAAGGCCUGUCCACUUUUACUUUUUGUAUUACAAGGAAAGUGUGCAUAAAUUUUCCAUCACAUGUCUCUGCACAAAAGCUGCUGAAAAAAUUUGCCAAAACCCAAUUCAAUACUCUCACUUCCAGUUACAAGAAAUGGCAAUUUGCACAGUUUACACUAGUCAAUCACUCAAUUCAACAUGCUCAAUCUACACACCAGGAAAAACCCACUUGGGAUUUAACCAGAAACAUCUUGUGUUCUAUAGCAGUAGCAAGAAAACCAUUAGGAGAGCUGCCACUGGUGUAAUAACCUGCUCAGUAGAUGACUCACGGACUGUUGUGAUUGGUCUAGCGGCAGACUCUGGAUGUGGUAAGAGUACCUUCAUGAGGAGACUAACUAGUGUGUUUGGUGGUGCUGCAGAGCCACCUAAAGGAGGCAAUCCUGAUUCAAACACACUGAUAAGUGACACAACUACUGUGAUAUGUUUAGAUGAUUAUCACUCACUGGAUAGGACUGGAAGGAAGGAAAAAGGGGUGACAGCACUUGACCCAAGAGCCAACAAUUUUGAUCUCAUGUAUGAGCAAGUUAAAGCUCUUAAAGAUGGGAAAGCUGUUGAGAAACCUAUUUACAAUCAUGUCACUGGUCUCCUGGAUCCUCCUGAGCUCAUCAAGCCUCCUAAGAUUCUUGUUAUUGAAGGUCUUCACCCAAUGUUUGAUGAACGUGUGAGGGACCUCUUAGACUUCAGCAUCUAUUUGGACAUAAGCAAUGAGGUUAAAUUUGCUUGGAAAAUUCAGAGGGACAUGGCAGAGCGAGGACAUAGUCUUGAAAGCAUUAAAGCCAGUAUUGAAGCACGCAAGCCUGACUUUGAUGCUUAUAUUGGUAAUUAAAUUAUGCUCAUCUACUCUCUCUCACACACACAGUCCUUUUUUUUUUACACUCAUUAAUGAUAUCUGAUAUUCCAUACUGGGUAAGUUAGUGACUUGUUGAUGGUUAUAAUCCAAAUUAAACCCUAAUUCCAGCUGGUUUUUAAAAUCUCACAUCCACACUGCGGGACAUUAGAAUCAAUCAUACUUUGAGCCAAUAAAAAAAAGGUUUAAUGCUCAAUUUUACUAUUGUAUUUAUUGGAAUAUUCAAUUUAGCCUAAAAAUAAAGAAAAUAAAAAUAUUAAAUUUAUUGAUUUUUUAAAUUUAAAUUUUUGAAUUAAAUUGAAUUUAAAUUGAAAUUUAAUUUACAUAAAUUUAAAAUUAGCUAAAUUGAACAUCCCAAUAAAUACAAUGGUGAAAUUAAACAUUCUACACAGAUUUAUGGUGAAAUCUCCAUGAACCAAGGAAUAUUUUAGUUGUAUUGUAUUAUUAAUUAUGUUAUUGUUGUAGAUUAGAUUGAGUGAUUUCUUGGUAAUGUAUUUGUGAAUUUUUGACUUGAAACUAAACUAAUCCACUGAAAUUUAGCAGAUUGAGCUGUUUCUGAUAAUAUAUAAUUGAAAUUUCAUGUUGGUGCAGAUCCGCAAAAGCAAUAUGCUGAUGCUGUGAUUGAAGUGCUGCCAACCCAGCUGAUUCCAGACGACAAUGAGGGGAAAGUUUUAAGAGUUAAGCUGAUAAUGAAAGAAGGGGUCAAUUAUUUCAGCCCUGUUUACUUGUUUGAUGAAGGCUCAACCAUUUCAUGGAUACCCUGUGGUAGGAAGCUCACCUGCUCUUACCCUGGCAUCAAAUUCUUCUAUUGCCCUGAAACUUAUUUUGGCCAUGAGGUAUACAUAUUACAUUUCCAUAAUUUUAUCAAUUCAGUUCCAACCGGGUAUCUGAUAAUAACUCCUGUACCAUUGAGUCAUAGCUUAUUGGUUUGAUCCAACGGUUUUUUUGUUGUUUAGGUGUCAGUAUUGGAGAUGGAUGGGCAAUUCGACAGAUUAGAUGAGCUCAUUUAUGUGGAAAGCCAUCUUAGCAACAUAUCCACCAAGUUCUAUGGAGAAAUCACCCAACAAAUGUUGAAGCAUGCAGAUUUCCCUGGAAGUAACAAUGGAACAGGUCUCUUCCAAACCAUUAUAGGAUUGAAAAUAAGAGAUCUCUACGAGCAAAUCUUUGCCAGCAAGGCAAAGACUCCUGUAGAAGCAAAAGCCUAAAUUCUACUGCCUUUUCUUUCUUCCCUUCUUUUUUCCACUGUUUUAGGCUAUUCUUCAUAAGAAUGAUAAACACUUGUGUACCUAUUUGGUGUUGUAAUUCUAUGGAGAUUUGUGUAAUAUAGGUAAAUCGAAAGCCAGCAGAGAUGAAAUUUAGUUUAAGGCUUUUCAACAAAACCACAACAUUUAGGUAUUAUUUUUUGUGUUCACUUCAUUGCUUUUCUUGCAUCACUUAUUUAUACAAAUGUGUUGGCUACUUUAUUGAUGAUCUAUGACAUUGUUCUCCGUCUUAUUCUGUAGGUAUAGCAUAGUAACAUCCUAACGAUUUAGUUUUGGUUUCCAU